rnacentral:lncRNA from 1 species
ACCAAAGAAAAGUGUCGUAUGGCGGCCGGUCUUGGGGUUUUUUGAAAUUUUGGCUAGAAAAAAUGAUUUUAUUGUGUAUUGUUGGUUCCCAAUAUUUUCCUAAGGCUCUGCUCGACCGUUUGUAAUAACAUGUUAAUAAUAGCACACACGAGCACACAGUCUUCAUGCGUCCUUUCACACAAGUGGAAAAGGUGGAGAUCCCAGACAAUGGUGCUUAAUUGGUAUUGGAAGUGACUAUGGUGAGGCUUAAUCAUCAACCAAGGGUUAAAUACGAUGCAGGAAGCUAAAUAGGCAUCGAGAGGCAAAGAUUUAUGGUAAAUGGAGGCUUCAAUAAAACAGUUCAUCCCUAUCUACAACUACAACUUUGAAACUAAACAAAGAGACUUUAUCUUCGUGGCAGUUAUUGGUUAUGUCCUUCAUCAACCGCAACAGUUUGAAGAAGAUGCCAUCACAUUGAUUAAAUUCAACAGUGGAUUGAGGAUGAAAUUCAACAUUAAAGAGAAAUUAAAUAAUUUUAGAUUUUCCAGGGCAGUACAUUUUUAUCCUUUUGAUCCAUAUCCUAACCAACAAUGCAUCAGGACUUUUAAGUAUAUUUAAAAUUUUAUUUCUUUUCGGAUAAAUAUAUUUCAACUGUUUAUUAUUUUUAAAUUUGAUUAAGUAGGAAGAAAAUCCAAUGAGUCUCUGAGUUACAUUUUUAUGAUUCUUUAUUAUCAGACCAUCUAUUUUUAUUUUGGGAAUAUUUGGCUUUUGGCCACUUCAUUUUCUUUUUUGUAAAUUUUUGAAAACAUCCACUUAGAACUUUACUUCAAGUUGUUUUUGGUUUAUUUUUAUUUCUCUGUAAUAGCUUGACUCUCAUAUUUUCUUGCUUAUAGGAAUGUCAGUAUUUCUAUAGGUUUUAUUCGUUUGGUAAAUGCAUGUUUAAGUAAAUGGUAUAUUUACUUAAAUGGUAGUAGGAUUUUACUUCAUGUUGUUUAUGGUUAACUUUUAUUUCUCUAUAACAGCUUGAUUUCUAUAUUUUAUUCAUUGUGGGAAUAAUAAAAUCAUUUAGCGAUUCUAUGAUAUAUUCCAUUGACUGCAUUUCUGUAAGUCUUAUUUUAUUUGUAUUAUUUCUCUUAUGGUUUCAUUUGAUUCUUUUAAUAUUUUUUGGUUGGAUAAUUUCUUCUGCAGAUGUUUAGUUUUGAUGGAUUUCAUUUUCAUGUCGUUUUUCCCAGAUUGUAUGUCAUGAAUUGCUAUAAUUUUAUGGAUUCUGUUGUUUUAGUUUGCCUGUGUUUGAAUAUAACAUAAACACACAAUAACACACUUAAAAAUCUCACAGUAAGGACUAUUUUCCAGUAAAUUCCUGGCGCAUUCGCCAUUUAUUCAAAAAAUCUGUCACUUUUCUUGUUCUUUGCAUUUUUCCAAUAAAUUUUCCUGAUUACCAUCGACUCCAGAGCAUCACAGCUAGCCUCCCCGCAAAAGAGGAGGCCUGGGUCGCUCCCUAACCCUGAUGUUCGGCCAUCGAUGACCUGUGUAGCAUGCAUGGGUACCCAAGGGUAUAUACCCAAAGGUCUUUUUGCAUAUAUUCUCACUUAUAACAUAUUCAUUUCUGUCAUAUUUUCUUUAUAUUUGGAAUAUCAUCAUUCCUCAAUUCUAUAAACUCUUCCCAGUUAUUGUCUUAUAUAUUUGUAUAUUUUUAUUUUGUCAUUCUUCUGAUACUUUUCUAAGGCAUACUUAGAAAAUCAUUCAACACAUUUCUAUUGUCUGUAUAAAAUUAUUGCUUUUUUAUCAAUUUUCGUCCUAUUUUUCUAAAAUCAUCCCUCAUUUUCGUGGCAUAUUUUCCAACUCAUCCCUUUUAUUUAUUUUAUUUUUCACUCAUAGUUUAUUAUUGGAAUAUCAUCAUUUACUCUUCUAUUUGUUUGUUUUAUUCAUUACUGUUAUCCUCCUAAGACGUAGUAUUUCAACAGAUCUAUUCCCUGUAAUAUAUUUUUUAUUAUUUUUCAAUGCAUCAUAUCUCUAAGUUGCUUUUUGUCUCCCAUUUUUUCUUCCUUGUGGGAAUGGCAUUAGUCAGCAAUUCUAAAAACUCUUCCAUUGAAAGUUAAGGUUGCCUCAUAUGUAUAUAAUUUUAUAUUUUUUGUGUCAUUUUUCUGAAACUUUUCUAAAUUCAUUCAAAGCCCUCCAUAGACUACACGUAUUAGUGUUUGAAUUCUUUAAUUUGUAGUUUUCCACCUUUUUUAAAUAUUACAAUUAAAAUAUUUCUUAAUUACGAAUGCAGUCAACUCAGCCAUGUUUUUUAUUGUAUUGCUAUAAAAAAAGUUUUCUAUGUUACGAAAAAUUGCUAUAUAAUACCUACUACCCUAUUAAUUUACUGAAAAUGUAAAGUUAUUGAAGUAAUAGAUUUUAAUCAAGUAUGUUAAGCGGGUCACACACGACCAGUAUUAUUGACAGUAUUUCCAAAAAUUGUCAGUAAUAUUGACCGUGUGAAGGAAAACAUACUGAUGGGAUUGUCAGUAUACCAAUAUACUUUGGAAAUCUUGAAAGUGUUUUGGGAUACUGACAAUACUCAAUGCAAUCAAUAAUACUGAUCGUGUGAGGCCCGCUUUAGUGAACAAACAAUUAAUUAUUUCUUAUAUAUUUUCCUUACAGAACCUUACAGUUUCAUUUUUUCCUACUUCUUAGAACCUACUUUCAUAUUGUAUAUUUUUUUGUCGCAACAAAACCAUGUUCUUUUUUGCUUUACUGCAUUCAACGAAUAAAAAUACAAAAGAAAAUUAUAAAAAUAAUAACAAACAAGUUUAUUGCAACAAAUAAAGACAGAAUUUUUGAAGAUAUAAUUGAUAAAUCAAUAUUUAUUUACUCUAAUUUUAUUUAUUAUACUUGUUUAUAUAAAAUUCAACUAAGUGAAUAUGUUCUCAAUCUAUUUUUAACGUUAUAAUUAAGAAUUUCGUAAUUAACACGUUAAUAUAAGCUCCAAAAGAAAA